AUUGAACGCUGGCGGCAUGCCUUACACAUGCAAGUCGAACGGCAGCACGGGAGCUUGCUCCUGGUGGCGAGUGGCGAACGGGUGAGUAAUACAUCGGAACGUACCCUGAAGUGGGGGAUAACGUAGCGAAAGUUACGCUAAUACCGUAUAUUCUGUGAGCAGGAAAGAGGGGGAUCGCAAGACCUCUUGCUUUAGGAGCGGCCGAUGUCGGAUUAGCUAGUUGGUGAGGUAAAGGCUCACCAAGGCGACGAUCCGUAGCGGGUCUGAGAGGAUGAUCCGCCACACUGGGACUGAGACACGGCCCAGACUCCUACGGGAGGCAGCAGUGGGGAAUUUUUGGGACAAUGGGCGCAAGCCUGAUCCAGCCAUGCCGCGUGAGUGAAGAAGGCC
rnacentral:rRNA from 1 species